rnacentral:rRNA from 1 species
UACGGAGGGUGCAAGCGUUAUCCGGAUUCACUGGGUUUAAAGGGUGCGUAGGUGGGCAGGUAAGUCCGUGGUGAAAUCUCUGAGCUUAACUCAGAAACUGCCGUGGAUACUAUUUGUCUUGAAUAUUGUGGAGGUGAGCGGAAUAUGUCAUGUAGCGGUGAAAUGCUUAGAUAUGACAUAGAACACCAAAUUGCGAAGGCAGCUCACUACACAAUUAUUGACGCUGAGGCACGAAAGCGUGGGGAUCAAACAGG